rnacentral:rRNA from 1 species
UAGAGUUUGAUCAUGGCUCAGAUUGAACGCUGGCGGCAGGCUUAACACAUGCAAGCCGAGCGGUAACAGGAAUAGCUUGCUAUUUGCUGACGAGCGGCGGACGGGUGAGUAAUGCUUGGGAAUAUGCCCUAUGGUGGGGGACAACAGUUGGAAACGACUGCUAAUACCGCAUAAUGUCUACGGGCCAAAGGGGGGGAUCUUCGGACCUCUCGCCAUUUGAUUAGCCCAAGUGAGAUUAGCUAGUUGGUAAGGUAAUGGCUUACCAAGGCGACGAUCUCUAGCUGGUUUGAGAGGAUGAUCAGCCACACUGGGACUGAGACACGGCCCAGACUCCUACGGGAGGCAGCAGUGGGGAAUAUUACACAAUGGGGGGAACCCUGAUGCAGCCAUGCCGCGUGUGUGAAGAAGGCCUUCGGGUUGUAAAGCACUUUCAGUUGUGAGGAAAGGUGUGUAGUUAAUAGCCGCAUACUGUGACGUUAACAACAGAAGAAGCACCGGCUAACUUCGUGCCAGCAGCCGCGGUAAUACGAGGGGUGCAAGCGUUAAUCGGAAUUACUGGGCGUAAAGCGUUCGUAGGCGGUUGAAUAAGCAAGAUGUGAAAGCCCAGGGCUCAACCUUGGAACUGCAUUUUGAACUGUUC